rnacentral:rRNA from 1 species
GGCGCACGGGUGAGUAACGCGUAGAUAACCUGUCUUCAUGUCUGGAAUAAUACGCCGAAAGGGGUACUAAUACCGGAUAUUCUUGCUUUAUAUAAGUUUUGCAAGCAAAGGUGGCCUCUGACAUAAGCUACUGCAUGAAGAGGGGUCUGCGUACCAUUAGCUUGUAGGUGGGGUAAUGGCCUACCUAGGCAACGAUGGUUAGCGGGUCUGAGAGGAUGAUCCGCCACACUGGCACUGGAACACGGGCCAGACUCCUACGUGAGGCAGCAGUGAGGAAUAUUGCGCAAUGGGGGCAACCCUGACGCAGCGACGCCGCGUGAGUGAGGAAGGCCUUCGGGUCGCAAAGCUCUGUCAAAGGGAAAGAAAUGUAUAAUGGCUAAUACCUGUUAUAUUUGACGGUACCCUUAAAGGAAGCACCGGCUAACUCCGUGCCAGCAGCCGCGGUAAUAC